rnacentral:rRNA from 1 species
GACGAACGCUGGCGGCGUGCUUAACACAUGCAAGUCGAACGGUGAAGCGCCUUCCUUUUUGGUGGGUGUGGAUGAGUGGCGAACGGGUGAGUAACACGUGAGUAACCUGCCCCCUUCUUCUGGAUAACCGCAUGAAAGUGUGGCUAAUACGGGAUAUUCUGGGUCUGUCGCAUGAUGGGUCUGGGAAAGAUAUUGUUUCGGUGGGGGAUGGGCUCGCGGCCUAUCAGCUUGUUGGUGGGGUGAUGGCCUACCAAGGCGGUGACGGGUAGCCGGCCUGAGAGGUUGGACGGUCACACUGGGACUGAGACACGGCCCAGACUCCUACGGGAGGCAGCAGUGGGGAAUAUUGCACAAUGGGCGCAAGCUUGAUGCAGCGACGCCGCGUGAGGGAUGGAGGCCUUCGGGUUGUGAACCUCUUUCGCCAGUGAAGCAGGCCUGCCUCGUUUGUGGGUGGGUUGACGGUAGCUGGAUAAGAAGCGCCGGCUAACUACGUG